CCCGCGGGCACCGCCCCGACGGCUGGGCGGGACUGCGGGCAGGGCGCGGCCUGCUGGGGAGCGCGGUGGCCGAGCCUCGCUGUGCCGGGUGCUGGGAACUGAGGUGCUCCAGGGGCUUUCCACGGGCGGGCGAUUCGCUUUCAGUUAACAGACAGUCUGAAGUCUCCUUUCUCAGUGAGCCUGAAGAACCAGCUGCCCAGCAAAGCAACAUCCAGAGGGUUUCCGAUGACCUACACCUUGAGACACUGGGAGACCAGUAUAUUGUUUUCUGUGAAAUGGAGAAAUGCCUCUGAUCAUCCUCAUUACCGUUCUUUCUCAAAAAGAUGAGGGGACUGUACCUUGCAGAUACAGAUUGUUCCCCUGGUGUGAUCUUCACUGGUACUGGUCACCCACAAACUAUACUCUUCAAAAAUUGGCGGAAGUGCGCAACAGAAGAUGAUAAAUGUUUCCAGCCAGUGGUUUAUAGCACACUACAACAAUGGAACUGUAAGCAAAUUAAAAUACAAGGGGACUUAAAUGCCAGAAAAACAAAAUCUAAAAAAAAGAGUAGCAACUUGAUUUUUUUCAAGACCUUUUUAUUGUCCCAUUUAACUAUAGCCAAUAACUACUUAGAAACAAAUAAAUCUAAAAUUAAUGAUUUGUUUCAUUCCAAGUAACAAGUAUAAGUAUCUUCAAGAAAUGUGAAAAUUAAAUGCCCCUCCCAGUCAGUUUUGUUCCUGUCUUGCGCAGCAGUGGGUUUGCAGUGUAGUUUCUGGUUGUUGUGGACUGCAAGGAGUGCUCCUGAUCCCUCCAUCUGACUAUCUGUCUCUAGGUCAGUAGAAUCCAACGCAUUAUCUUUAAAUUCACAUACCUAACUGUGAGCCAGACCCAUCUUGGCAUAACUCCCAUGCUGCACUACAAGUUUCUCUUUAGUUUCUGACUGAAUAACAACAAAAGGUGCUGAUCUUUCUACAUGGGUUUUUCUGAAAUGCUCAGGGUAUGCUGAACAUGGAGCCCAUCAGGACUUCCUGAGAGGCUUUUGCCAGAAGAGAUUCUACAACAAAACCUUUCUGAGCUGAGCCACACUUGCAAGUUGGGUUUAGCAUAGGAGCCCGAUUAAAAGAUUUUCCAGAAGCCUGUAAACAUAAACCUCAGAUAGAACCAAAUUAUGGAGGGGAAACAGAAAGAUUCAAAUUUUCAAACUGGGCUAAAACAAAUGCUAUGAAAGGAAAUAAAAAAGAAAACAUACCUGUUUCUGUUUUUAUAAUAAUAAACUGUUUUAACCGUUG